rnacentral:rRNA from 1 species
AUGUCCGCCGCCGUGCCCGGUCGUCCGUCGCGGUCGGCCUCGAGGAUCGUGGCCAGGCCAGCGGACGGGUUCCACCUCCUGCGCAUCGACGGCUACUCGCACACCAAGACGGUCCUCCCCGGCCAGAAGCUCUCCUCCCAGCCCUUCUACGUCGGCGGCCACAGCUGGCGCGUCGACUACUACCCCAACGGCCGCGACGAGUCCAGCAACUCCGGCGCCAUCUCCGUCUACCUCCAGCUGACCGACCCCACCAGGAGCCCCCAGCAGGCGCGGUACAAGUUCAGCCUGCUGGACCGGGACGGCGUCCCGGCGUACGAGCUCCCGGCCGAGACAGGCUCCUUCACCGGCGUCUUCCCGAACGUCCACGCUCCCUACGGCCCCGCCAUCGGCGACGGCGACGGCGAGGAACCAGCUGGGCCAGGACGCGGCCACGACGAGUUCAUCUUGAAGGAAGAGCUGGAGAGGCGCCGCGGGGAUCUGAUCCGCGACGACUGCAUCAUGAUCCGGUGCGACGUCGGCGUCACGCAGGUCGACUUUUCCUGCCUGGCGCAAGACGAGAUCGUCGGGGACGACGACGGGGCGCACUACGCGGCAUCCCCGGUGUACGGCCCGUAUGGCCCUCCUCGCCGGCAUCCGCGCCAGCGCCAGCGUCGUCGUGCGGACGACGACGAGUACGUCAAGUGGUGCGUCACCCGAGAACCUGGUGGAUCACUGCGCCACCCGGUUGAAGGAGACUAUUACGAAUAA